rnacentral:rRNA from 1 species
UACGUAGGGUGCAAGCGUUAAUCGGAAUUACUGGGCGUAAAGCGUGCGCAGGCGGUUAUGUAAGACAGGUGUGAAAUCCCAGGGCUUAACCUUGGAACUGCAUUUGUGACUGCAUAGCUAGAGUACGGUAGAGGGGGAUGGAAUUCCGCGUGUAGCAGUGAAAUGCGUAGAUAUGCGGAGGAACACCAAUGGCGAAGGCGAUCCCCUGGACCUGUACUGACGCUCAUGCACGAAAGCGUGGGGAGCAAACCGG